UUUAGGGAGACCCAAAUCAAUUCAAAAGUCAAAAUUCAAUAUUCAAAAACGGCAAAAAGUUUUUUGGAAAUUGGAUUAAUCAUAUAACUUUGAAUUGAUUUUAUCCCGAGGUCGGUCGCAAGCAAAGUGUAAGCUUUCAAACUAUAAGUUAGGUUCGGAUAUGGGCUAUUAGCUCAGGUGGUUAGAGCGCACCCCUGAUAAGGGUGAGGUCCCUGGUUCGAGUCCCGGAUGGCCCACCUGAAAACAGUGAACAGUGUGCAGUAAACAGUGGUCAUAAACAAAAAAUGAUAACUGUGAACUGGUAACUGUGAAUUGAAAUUUAGGGGGGUAUAGCUCAGUUGGUAGAGCGCCUGCUUUGCAAGCAGGAUGUCAGGAGUUCGAGUCUCCUUACCUCCACCUGCGCCCUAAGUAAUUAACUUUUGUGAUUCCACCCUUGUUGAGUGUACUCAAAUAGCUGCAAAACAAAGUAGAGUGCACGCAAGUGAGAAAAGCAAAAGCAAAAUUAUCAUCCGAAAAAAAAUUGGAAUAAAGUUUCAGCAUCUUGUGAUCUAAAGCAAGAAUGCUGGGAGAUUUCCAGCAAAAGAACCUUGAAAACUGCAUAGAAACGCGAAAAUUGUCAGGUAGUUAACUAUCAACAACAGUUAAGACUUCCAUAAAAAGCAGUAAUGAUUGUUUGU
rnacentral:tRNA from 1 species